rnacentral:rRNA from 1 species
UACAGGGGGUGCAAACGUUGCUCGGAAUCAUUGGGCGUAAAGCGCACGUAGGCGGUUCGUUAUGUCGGAUGUGAAAGCCCUUGGCUUAACCGAGGAAGUGCAUCCGAAACUGGCGAGCUAGAGUACUAAAGAGGAUCGCGGAAUUCCCGGCGUAGAGGUGAAAUUCGUAGAUAUCGGGAGGAACACCUGUGGCGAAAGCGGCUCACUGGACCGCAACUGACGCUGAGGCGCGAAAGCUAGGGGAGCAAACAGG